UACGGGGGGGGCAAGCGUUGUUCGGAAUUACUGGGCGUAAAGGGCUCGUAGGCGGCCAACUAAGUCAGACGUGAAAUCCCUCGGCUUAACCUGGGAACUGCGUCUGAUACUGGGAGGCUUGAGUAUGGGAGAGGGAUGUAGAAUUCCAGGUGUAGCGGUGAAAUGCGUAGAUAUCUGGAGGAAUACCGGUGGCGAAGGCGGCAUCCUGGACCAUUACUGACGCUGAGGCGCGAAAGCUAGGGGAGCAAACGGGG
rnacentral:rRNA from 1 species